rnacentral:lncRNA from 1 species
CAAAACUGCUCCCUUCCUCUUCUCUAGGCAGGACGUCGCCGGUCCUCGCCGCCUCCGGUGCGGUGAGAUCGACCCCUCUCUUUUCCUCCUCUUUUUCCUACUUCUAAACCCCUAAAUUCUAAAAUUCAAUUCCUAAGUUUUCUGCCUCCCUUCUUCCCCCUGAAAUUCGCCCCUCCGGCGAGUCCCGCCGCCACUACCGCCGUCUCCGUCGCACCGCUACCCCUGCCUCAGGUAUGCGCCCUCGCUGCCCUCUCUCCGCUCUCUCAACCCCUCUCUCUGUCUCGAUCUUUCUCUCUCUCUCUGCCCUCAACCUCUCUCUCUCUCUCUCCUCAGCGCCGGCGGUCACCUCCUGUCGCGCCUCCGCCGCGGUAGCUCGCAACUGCUGCUGUUGCCGUCCCCAUUUCCCUGUUCUAUCCCUUUUUCUUUUUCUUUUUCUCUAUCUAUUCUAUUUGUUUUUCUGACAUAAAACUCUUGCUUUUAGAAAUCAAUGCUCUUCGGUGAACAUCGCUGGCGGAAGGCGUCACCGGCCCGACAAGGCAGCCUCGGUUUCACUGUGGCUAUUCGAAUUUCAUCUGUUCUUUUUUUCUUUUUGUAUUUAUUCAGUCCAUAAACUCUUCGAAACAGGAAGCAUACUCUAGAUGCUAAAGAAAAUCGAGUUUUAUUGCUUGGUAUCUUAAAUUAGAACUAGAUGUAACUAUUGUCUAAUUCUGUUAUUCUGGACUGUUGUUUACGAAUGAAUUACUGAACUGUAUAAAAGAGUACUACCUGCUUGGGUUGAAUUGCUUGUUGUGACAACUGUUGAGCAUGAUUUAUGUAUUGGUGGACAACUGCUUGGCUGGGUUUAGAUUUGCAAAGUGAGGAAAAUGGUUUAACGAGAGAGAAGAGACUUAUAAUCUCAGAGUCGGUUUAUUACACACAGCUGCGUUAAAAGUGAAGAGCUAC